CACCAGAAGGAGAAGUCUGGCAUCAUACCUACCUCGCCAACACCCUACACUUACAACAAGAGCUGUGACUUGUGGUCCCUAGGGGUGAUAAUGUAUGUGAUGCUGUGUGGAUAUCCUCCUUUUUACUCCAAACACCAUAGUCGAACUAUCCCAAAGGAUAUGCGGAGAAAAAUCAUGACAGGAAGUUUUGAGUUCCCAGAGGAAGAGUGGAGCCAGAUCUCAGAGAUGGCUAAAGAGGUUGUGAGGAAGCUUCUAAAGGUCAAACCAGAGGAAAGACUUACAAUCGAGGGAGUGUUGGACCAUCCCUGGCUCAACUCAACAGAGGCCCUGGAUAAUGUACUGCCCUCUGCCCAGCUGAUGAUGGAUAAGGCAGUGGUUGCAGGGAUCCAGCAGGCUCAUGCAGAGCAACUAGCAAACAUAAGGGUCCAGGACCUCAAAGUCAACCUCAAACCCCUGCAUUCCGUGAACAACCCCAUUCUGAGGAAGAGGAAGCUGCUGGGCACCAAGCCAAAGGAUGGUAUUUAUAUACACGACCAUGAGAAUGGAACUGAGGAUUCAAAUGUUGCCUUGGAAAAGCUUCGAGAUGUCAUUGCCCAGUGUAUCCUCCCCCAGGCUGGAGAGAAUGAAGAUGAGAAGCUGAACGAGGUAAUGCAGGAGGCCUGGAAGUAUAACUGGGAGUGCAAGCUUCUGAGGGAUGCGCUACAGAGUUUUAGCUGGAAUGGUUUUGGGUUCACAGACAAAGUCGACCGACUAAAGCUUGCAGAGGUUGUGAAGCAGGUGAUUGAAAAGCAGACCCUUCCCCACGAGCUCCAGUACUAACAGCUUCAAACUGUUUUUAACAAUUGGAAAAAUUAUUCCUUAAUGUAAAAAGUAAUUUUUAUGUAAAUUAAUAAAUCAUAAUUUCAUUUCAAAAAUAAGAAACUAUAGGGAACUGAGGAAAACUGGGAGAAAGGGGGUCUUUCCCAUAUUAAUCUGUUGUCCUGUUACAAAUAAAUGGUGAGCCCUGAAAACACACAUAUAAGUAACUUUAUGUGGACUGAGAAGUUUAUAUUUAGGAAUAUAUGUAUAUAUACAGAUAAAUGCAUGCAUACAAUGACAAUUAGUGAAAAUAGGCU